rnacentral:snoRNA from 13 species
AUGCACCAGAUACUAACCUGGCUAUCUAUGUCAAAGCUCUGUUGUAGAUCUGAGACAAUCCUGUGAUUGUUGGGUCCAAAUGGUGCAAGAUUAAACCAAGCCAUGAGUACAUAUUAGCUCAUCGUGCGCAGAAACACUAUGGGUUAUAACUUAGAGGCACAAUG